rnacentral:tRNA from 1 species
GCUAGUUUGCUUGGGAAGUUAAAGGGGAAAAUUUAAGAUCUUUUGCACAUAAGUGUGCGUGGGUUUGAACCCCACAACUAGCA